CCGCCUGAUCGAUGAUCCUUAUGAUCCCCUUCAAAUCUAGGGUUUCCGCCACCCCCCUCCCUCCCUCUCCGCCACCUCCCCCCUUACCAUGUCCUCUCCGAUCAACCACCGCCGCCCCCGCCGCCGCCGCCGCCGCCGCCCAUCGCCCGAUCAACGGCCAGAUCCCCUCCCCGCCGUGCCCCCACCUCGCCGACUUCCGCGCCCGUAACGGAUCCAAGCCCUUCUGCGCCCUCCAGGCCUGCCUCCGCGUCAAGCCCCCCGGCGGCCGCGCCGCCAUCCGCCGCGAGCCCUCCGAGGUCCCCCGCUGCGGCGCCUGCGGCGACGCCGCCCGCCCCCGCCUCUUCGCCUGCAUGGCCUGCGCCGCCGUGUCCUGCCACGCGCCCCCGGGCCCUCCCACGCGGCCGCGCACGCCGAGGCCAUGCCCCCGGCCACGAGAUCGCCGUCGACGUCGACCGCGCCGAGCUGUUCUGCUGCGUGUGCCGCGAUCAGGUCUACGAUCGCGACUUCGACGCCGCCGUGGUCCUGGCCCAGACCGCGGCCUCCACUCUGCCGGCCUCCGCCAGCUCCUCCGGCGGCUCCCGGGCGGUGGUGGCCCCGGAGAACCUGCGCAAGCGGCGGAGGGUUGAUUACCGGCCGUGGUCGCCGGACCCGCGCGAGCGCGCCCUAAUGGGGAGCUUUUCGAGCCCCCUCGAGUCCGUCCCGACCUCGGAUUUGCCGCGGGGCUUGCGGGGGCUCAAUAACUUGGGGAACACCUGCUUUAUGAAUUCGGUGUUGCAGGCAUUGUUGCACACUCCUCCUUUGAGGAACUACUUCUUGAGUGACAGGCACAAUAGGUACUUUUGUCAGAAGAACAAUGGGGUUGGUGGAAAUGUGAGUAAAAGGAAUGUAGAUGAUGCUCUUGAUGGAGGCCAUGGGAGCAAGAAUGGCAGCUUCUGUUUGGCCUGUGACAUGGACGCCAUGUUCUCGGCGGUGUUUUCAGGGGAGCGGAUGCCUUAUAGUCCGGCGAAGUUCCUGUACAGUUGGUGGCAACAUGCAGCUAACUUGGCAAGUUAUGAGCAGCAGGACGCUCAUGAGUUUUUCAUUUCAAUGCUUGAUGGGAUCCAUGAGAAAGUGGAUAAGGAUCGACGCCGGCCGCAGAGCCAAGGGAGUGGAGAUUGCUGUAUUGCUCACAGAGUAUUCUCUGGUAUCUUACGCUCUGAUGUCAUGUGUAUGGCUUGUGGUUUCACAUCUACAACAUAUGACCCUUGCUUGGACAUUUCUUUGGAUCUGGAACAAAGCCAACGUGGUUCUGUGAAGGCGACAUCAGCUAAGUCACAUCACUCCUGCAAUGGCGAGGCAGAGUGCAUGAAUUCAAGCCAGAACUCUGGGAUACCGACCUUGAUGGGCUGCUUGGACCGAUUCACAAGACCGGAGAGGCUCGGUUCAGACCAGAAGUUAUUCUGCCAACAGUGUCAGGUGAGUCAGGAGUCUCUCAAGCAGAUGUCCAUAAGGAAGCUCCCAUUGGUUUCUUGCUUUCACAUCAAAAGAUUUGAACAUUCUUCCAUACGGAAGAUGUCGAGGAAGAUUGACCGAUAUCUGCAUUUUCCAUUUUCACUGGACAUGGCCCCUUACCUCUCUUCUUCCAUUUUGAGGAGAAGAUUUGGGAACAGGAUUUUCCCUUUUGAUGGGGACGAACCUGAUGCAUCAAACGAGUUCUCCUCAGAAUUUGAGCUGUUUGCUGUUGUCACUCACGCUGGUAAAUUAGACGCAGGCCAUUAUGUGACUUAUCUGCGUCUGAGCAAUCAGUGGUACAAGUGCGACGAUGCUUGGAUUACCCAAGUGAAUGAGAACAUUGUGAGAGCUGCACAAGGGUACAUGAUGUUCUAUGUCCAGAAAAUGCUAUAUUAUAGAGCAAGUGAUAAAAUGGGUGCUUCAUGAUAGCCUUCGGAAAUUAAAAUACCAGUUGCUGGUGCUGUAUUAUGCGUGUCUUGCGCUAAAUCGCCGGGACUCGAGGUCAAUAUGCAGAAUAAAGCGAAGAACAGUGCUGCAGUUGCUGCUUUGUCUGUGAACUGAAUUUUAAUGAGUUGCUGCAGCUAAUUGCGGAAUGCCAAACAACUCUCUUCCAUCGGGGCAAACAUCCGUCAGAAAAUAAUCUGUAAUUCUACUUUGGAGCUGUGCUGAGCCUAAUUUUAUUUGGGGUGCCUCAGCGGACGAGGGAAUCGCUUAGUGGAGCCCUCAGAGUUAUUUAUGAGUUAAUUAUUUCAACUUUUCCCCCCUAAUUUUUCCUGCUUGUCCAAGUAUUGAUGGUGGGUCGAUUCUUUUUUUUUUUUGUGACAUGGAUCCUCGCGAAGGUUGAUGCUUGGAGCUGUGGGUUCUUUCCGGUAUGCUCAUUCCUUGCAUUCCAUAUUGUACUUUUAUUGGGAUUUUUUUAAGCUUCGGAGCUUUCUUGGGGAGGCGCUUCAUAUCAAUUUCUUGAAACGGAAAUGUGAGGAAUGUUAUGCCGGAGAUUUUGUAUGUCGUACUUGUUUUGAGCAAAGAGAAAUCAUAGUAUGACUAACUACACCUUUACAUUCUUGAUA